AUGGCUGAAAUCUACGCCGAAGCUCCGUCUAAUCUGUCCUGGCGAAAGGACUUAAGGAGGAUUGAAGCCCGAAAGAAUGACUCGAAGAAAAAGCGCCGCCAUUGCGAGAACCAAAACCCUACCUAUCUAAGCCGAGACACCAGGAAUACCCUCCCCGCCACCGGCCGCCGGAGCGGCAAGCGGAGGGGAGGCAAAUCCACGGGCUCGCCGGCGGAGUUCGGAGAAAAGAAGGCUUUGCCUAGUUUCCUUGUGAGAGGGGGAAGAAAAACCUGUGAAUGUGAAGAAAACUUGCACACACUACACGAGCCAAGUUGUUGUAUCUGCACCCGAAUUACCACAAGAGAUUUGAAACGAAGGAAAGAGAAAGUGAGCACUUUAGACGAGCAGCAGGGGACAAGCAAGCGAGUAGCCUCCACUCAAUAA
rnacentral:rRNA from 1 species